rnacentral:rRNA from 1 species
CGGCUGAUUAGCUAGUUGGUAGGGUAACGGCCUACCAAGGCCAAGAUCGGUAGCCGGCCUGAGAGGGCGCACGGCCACACUGGAACUGAAACACGGUCCAGACUCCUACGGGAGGCAGCAGUGGGGAAUUUUGCGCAAUGGGGGAAACCCUGACGCAGCAACGCCGCGUGGAGGAUGAAGUCCUUUGGGACGUAAACUCCUUUCGACCCGGACGAUACUGACGGUACGGGUGGAAGAAGCACCGGCUAACUCUGUGCCAGCAGCCGCGGUAAUACAGAGGGUGCGAGCGUUGUUCGGAAUUAUUGGGCGUAAAGGGCGCGUAGGCGGUGCGGUAAGUCACCUGUGAAAUCUCCUGGCUCAACUGGGAGCUUGCAGGCGAAACUGCCGUGCUGGAGUGUGG